UGGGAAUUUUGGACAAUGGGCGCAAGCCUGAUCCAGCCAUGCCGCGUGCAGGAAGAAGGCCUUCGGGUCGUAAACCGCUUUUGUCAGGGAAGAAAUCUUCUGAGUUAAUACCUCGGGAGGAUGACGGUACCUGAAGAAUAAGCACCGGCUAACUACGUGCCAGCAGCCGCGGUAAUACGUAGGGUGCAAGCGUUAAUCGGAAUUACUGGGCGUAAAGCGUGCGCAGGCGGUUUUGUAAGACAGAGGUGAAAUCCCCGGGCUCAACCUGGGAACUGCCUUUGUGACUGCAAGGCUUGAGUGCGGCAGAGGGGGGAUGGAAUUCCGCGUGUAGCAGUGAAAUGCGUAGAUAUGCGGAGGAACACCGAUGGCGAAGGCAAUCCCCUGGGCCUGCACUGACGCUCAUGCACGAAAAGCGUGGGGAGCAAAACAGGAUUAGAUACCCUGGUAGUCCACGCCCUAAAACGAUGUCAACUGGUUGUUGGGAAGGUUCCUUCUCAGUAACGUAGCUAAACGCGUGAAAGUUGACCGCCUGGGGAGUACGGCCGCAAGGUUG
rnacentral:rRNA from 1 species